rnacentral:rRNA from 1 species
GACGAACGCUGGCGGCGUGCUUAACACAUGCAAGUCGAACGGUAAGGCCCUUCGGGGUACACGAGUGGCGAACGGGUGAGUAACACGUGGGUGAUCUGCCCUGCACUUUGGGAUAAGCCUGGGAAACUGGGUCUAAUACCGAAUACACCCUGCUGGUCGCAUGGCCCGGUGGGGGGAAGCUUUUGCGGUGUGGGAUGGGCCCGCGGCCUAUCAGCGUGUUGGUGGGGUGAUGGCAUACCAAGGCGACGACGGGUAGCCGGCCUGCGAGGGUGACCGGCCACACUGGGACUGAGAUACGGCCCAGACUCCUACGGGAGGCAGCAGUGGGGAAUAUUGCACAAUGGGCGCAAGCCUGAUGCAGCGACGCCGCGUGAGGGAUGACGGCCUUCGGGUUGUAAACCUCUUUCAAUAGGGACGAAGCGUAAGUGACGGUACCUAUAGAAGAAGGACCGGCCAACUACGUGCCAGCCGCCGCAGUAACAC